rnacentral:lncRNA from 1 species
UUGGGACCAAGAAAAAAAUGGUUCUGCAGAAGAGGAUCGAUCAAAUGAUGCUAUAUAUAUAUGAUAAUAUGAGAUACUUGAUGUUUAUUUUUUUUGUACCGACGGCCAACUUGAUACAAGUAACAAGGAUGAGUUGAGGUGAUCCUACAAUGACGGAGGGGCCAGCCACUGAACGCUAAGCUGAAACAACCAGAAUGGGACAUUUCCCAUUCAUGGAU